UACGUAGGGGGCUAGCGUUGUCCGGAAUCAUUGGGCGUAAAGCGCGUGUAGGCGGUUCGGUAAGUCCGCUGUGAAAGUCGGGGGCUCAACCCUCGAAUGCCGGUGGAUACUGUCAGACUAGAGUACGGAAGAGGCGAGUGGAAUUCCUGGUGUAGCGGUGAAAUGCGCAGAUAUCAGGAGGAACACCAAUUGCGAAGGCAGCUCGCUGGGACGUUACUGACACUGAGACACGAAAUCUUGGGGAGCAAACAGG
rnacentral:rRNA from 1 species